rnacentral:lncRNA from 1 species
GCCAGAUUUAUAUAAAUAAAAAAGCAGAUUUUCCCCGUCUCUCUUGGCUGCUGUUGAACAGCAUCAGUUUCAAGACCACACAAGGAGCUGUGUCGACAGCUCAGAAAUGUGCAGGAAAGGCAGAGGUAGGAAGGGUUCAAAGGACCUUGAUAACUUGCUUUGGGCUUCUAAUGCAUGGAGGUUCCCUGUGGACGUUAAGGAGUAGCCCUUUCACUGGGAGCAAAGAGGAUAGUUGCUGGGAUGUGAUGAAGGCUCUGAAAGGAAAAAAUAAAUUAACAUCCGGUGGGCUUCUCCUCCUACUCUGCAUACAGGAAGUCUUAAGGAGACCACAGGACACUAUCAGUACUGCCUCCCAACACAUUCUGGAUCCCAAGAACCCUUCCUAUUCCUCUACAGCCUCUAAUAACUUCACUUAAAAUAAAACUCCUAGUUUGGUGUUUCUUGUCUGAAAU